rnacentral:misc_RNA from 1 species
UCUCCGUUGGUGAACCAGCGGAGGGAUCAUUACCGAGUUAUUCUACUCCCAAACCUCUGUGAACUAAUACCUUUACUGUUGCUCCGGCGGGUUAACGCCCCGGAAGGCCCGCGAGCGCCGCCGGCACCAGGCGCCCGCCGGGGGACCCAAACUCUUGCAUCUUUUUUAUAGCAUGUCUGAGUGGAAUCAUAAACAAAUGAGUCAAAACUUUCAACAACGGAUCUCUUGGUUCUG